GAUCAUGGCUCAGAUUGAACGCUGGCGGCAGGCUUAACACAUGCAAGUCGAACGGUAACAUAAAGAAGCUUGCUUCUUUGAUGACGAGUGGCGGACGGGUGAGUAAUGCUUGGGAAUCUAGCUUAUGGAGGGGGGAUAACUACGGGAAACUGUAGCUAAUACCGCGUAAUAUCGAAAGAUUAAAGUGUGGGACCUUCGGGCCACAUGCCAUAAGAUGAGCCCAAGUGGGGUUAGGUAGUUGGUGAGG
rnacentral:rRNA from 1 species